GUCUUUUUGAUAUUAAUUUAAAGUCGGGCCUGCCCACUGAUUUAUGAAGGGCCGCGGUAUUUUGACCGUGCAAAGGUAGCAUAAUCAUUAGUUUUUUAAUUAAAAACUGGAAUGAAAGGUUUGAUAAAAAAAUGGCUGUCUCAAUUUAAUUUUAUUAGAAUUUUAUUUUUAAGUUAAAAAGCUUAAAUAAUUUUAAAAGACGAGAAGACCCUAUAGAGUUUAAUAUUAAUUUUAUUAUAAUAUAAGGAUUUUAAUUUUAUAAUAUAAUUUAAUAUUUAAUUGGGGUGAUUAAAAAAUUUAAUAAACUUUUUUUAUAAAUUUACAUAGAUUAAUGAAUAAUUGAUCCAUAAAUAAUGAUUAUAAGAUUAAAUUACCUUAGGGAUAACAGCGUAAUUUUUUUAGAGAGUUCUUAUCGAAAAAAAAGAUUGCGACCUCGAUGUUGGAUUAAAGUUAAUUUUUGGUGUAGAAAUUAAAAAUUUAAGUCUGUUCGACUUUUAAAUCUUUACA
rnacentral:rRNA from 1 species